CUAGGUCCCCAGCUUGCUCGCAGGGCAGAGGUUCUGCUCAGGGAGGGUCAGGCCCCCACCUCCCCGCACCACAACAGGACUGUCACUCAAGGAGGCCGUCCCUGCUGUUGGCCCCGUGCGGUAGCACGGGGGACUGGCUGUAUUUGUAUUGCAUGGUGGAGGAUCCCAAUGGCUCCCUAAUUCCAAUGCCAAGUUGAAGACAAUGGGGACGUGGUGGGGAGCCAUGACAGGGGCCUCCUAGCUCUGUGACGGCAGCAGCAGAAAGCCAGUCUGAAGAACAACCAGAAGCUUAACAGAGCCCAGAAGAGCCUUCCUGGGGUCACAGUCGACCUUGAGGGUCAGGGAGGCUGCCUCCAAGUGCUAGACCGCACGCACGUGGCCGUGGGCUUAAGGAGGGCUUGGAAACACUCCCCACACACCUAGACCAACCCUGGCUGAGGGGCCUUAGCACAACCUCGAAGCAAACACUGGCUGCACAAGAAACCACCCGGCCACAAGAGCCGCUCCCAGGAGCCAGGCCUAGAGGUACAAUAUCUGGAGGUCCGGAGAGCACGUGCGCGUCUAAGGCUGCCCGUGCAGGGGAGACGGAGAGGGGCAACCCAAGCUACUAGUCCCUGGCUGCGGGUGGGCAAAACCGUACAGUCGCGCACUGUGACAGCAGCCUCCAAGCCACACGCACACAGAUGCACACAUGCACGCACGCACACGCACACACAGGCACACGCGGUGUGACAGGCCAAGGGGCUUACCCACCGCCGUUGAUCAAAAAAUGGCUUCUGUUGACCCAAGGGUGACCCCUAGGUAGUGAAGUUAAGAGAGACCCAAACAAGACAAAACCUGCAGGGAACCAGAGGCUGCACAGCGCGGGCAGAAGGACCUCAGAGUUAGUCCAGCUAAGUCACUCACCAAACACGGACCACCAAGCAAACACCAAGCCCAUGGGGAGGAGGGGUGGCGACCCAGGGUCGCUGUCACAUUCCAUCUAAAUGUCUAGCUUCCGACGGGAAACCAUGAGAUACCCAGAGAAACAGGAAAGUGUGAGCGUUAGAAGUGGGAAAAAGCAGAAAUAGAAACUUCUGAAGGAGCCCGGAUGAGGGACUUAGCAAAGACUUCAGAGCAGCCAUUAUAAAUACGUUCAAGCCGUGGUGCUGUGAGGCUGCAGGAUGAUCUGGGAGGCAGGAGAGCACAGGAGAUUGUGAGCAAAAGAAACUGUGAGCCUUUUUACGAAUGUGAGCCUUUUUAAAUCACCAGUGGCCCCACUCAGGCUCUACGUCACCCCCGUGGCUCUGUACUGCGGUCAGCGGAGCCGCUUACAGCCGCCGCACAGUGAGGCCCCUGGCACACAGUAAUCGCUCUGCGAAAGUUCACGAGCAAGCCUGGAGGCAGCUCUAUUCCAAGGGACUUGAGAGAAUGGACAGCCUGGACAGUGCCUGCUCUCAAGAGGUUCUUGUCUAACUGAGCACAGAUGCAAGCUAGCAGAAAAGCUGCACGUUAGCCUGGACCAAGGGCGUCUCCUAGGCGUGGAGAGAGCUUUGCAACAGUUUCUCCUUGAGACCAAGGCAACAUGGCUUAAUUUGUUCUGUGUCCUCAGAGCCUCACACGUAAGGGGCUUAGCAAAUGUUUAUGUGCGUAAGGAUGUUUAUAGUAGCACUGUUUCUAAUAGCUGAACAGCGAAAACAAAAGAGUAAAAAGCAGGGAAAUGGGUGAAUACAACAAGGGCAUCCACAGGUUAGACUUUUUCAUAUCAUGCUCGUGAAAACGUGCGGCUGUGGGAAAACGCUAACAACAAAUUAAACAGUAAAGUUUACAAAACGA